rnacentral:tRNA from 1 species
GGAGGGAUGGCCGAGCGGUUGAAGGCGACGGUCUUGAAAACCGUUAUGGGCUUACGCCCAUCGGGGGUUCGAAUCCCUCUCCCUCCG